AAUGGGAUAGCUGGGUCAACUGGUGAUUCCAUUCCCAGUUUUCCAGGGAAUCUCCAUACUGCUUUCCAUAUUGGCUGCACCAAUUUGCAGUCCCACCAGCAAU
rnacentral:pre_miRNA from 1 species